rnacentral:rRNA from 1 species
UCCAUGAAGCUGGAUUCGCUAGUAAUCGCGCAUCAGCCAUGGCGCGGUGAAUACGUUCCCGGGCCUUGUACACACCGCCCGUCAAGCCAUGGGAGCCGGGAGUGCCUGAAGUGCGUGACCGCAAGGAGCGCCCUAAGGCAAGACCGGUGACUGGGGCUAAGUCGUAACAAGGUACC